rnacentral:rRNA from 1 species
CCUACGGGCGGCUGCAGUGGGGAAUUUUCGGCAAUGGACGCAAGUCUGACCGAGCAAUGCCGCGUGAACGAUGAAGGUCUUCGGAUUGUAAAGUUCUGUUGUUAGGGAAGAAAAAAAUGACGGUACCUAACUAGAAAGUCCCGGCUAACUAUGUGCCAGCAGCCGCGGUAAUACAUAGGGGACAAGCGUUAUCCGGAAUUAUUGGGCGUAAAGAGUGCGUAGGCGGUUUAUUAAGUCUGGUGUGAAAUUUCAUGGCUUAACCAUGAAGGGUCAUUGGAAACUGGUAAACUUGAGUACGGUAGAGGUAAGUGGAAUUCCAAGUGGAGCGGUGGAAUGCGUAGAUAUUUGGAGGAACACCAAUGGCGAAGGCAGCUUACUGGGCCGGAACUGACGCUGAUGCACGAAAGCGUGGGGAGCAAACAGGCUUAGAUACCCUAGUAGUC